AUGGAGUGUUUGGUUGAAAAUAUUUUCCAUGUCCAUCAUUCAACAAUCCUGGUUUUUUUUUCAGAGUCCUCCCACCAUGACAUGUCAGAAAUAAGUGAGAAUCCUGAGGUUGAGGUCACCCUUGAAGAUUCUGACCAUACCUACAUGUACCGUGAGACGCGAUGGAGGAGCAGCAAGUCAGUUAAUGAAGAGUCCAAUACUCAGAGAAGAAAUGAGGCAGAGUUCAAUUCUGAUUCAUCCCAGCAUGACUCAUCAGAAGGAAGUGAGGUUUCUGAGGCUGACCUCACUAGUGAAGGUCAGUUCCCCAGGUCACUCAUUUCAGUUGGUUGGGCAUUUUUCUAUCCAGAGUGUGUUUUCCAAAGCCUGCAUUACUUGACACUGAAUGAAGAUAAUUGUGUACUGGUGUUGAGUGGAGUUUGGAUUGUGCACUGUUUUCUAAACAAACCUGGUGGAGAAGUAUUAGAAAACCAAAAUAUACUGAAGCAUAUUGGACUUGGUGGGCUGGUUUUGAGAUGA
rnacentral:lncRNA from 1 species